rnacentral:pre_miRNA from 1 species
CAUCUGGUCAUUGAGCAUCUGAUGUACAUCUGGUCAUUGAACAUUUAUUGUAGUUCAAUGACCAGAUGUACAAUAAAUGUUCAAUGACCAGA